rnacentral:rRNA from 1 species
UACGAAGGGGGCUAGCGUUGCUCGGAAUCACUGGGCGUAAAGCGCACGUAGGCGGCUUUUUAAGUCAGGGGUGAAAUCCUGGAGCUCAACUCCAGAACUGCCUUUGAUACUGAGAGGCUCGAGUCCGGGAGAGGUGAGUGGAACUGCGAGUGUAGGGGUGAAAUUCGUAGAUAUUCGCAGGAACACCAGUGGCGAAGGCGGCUUACUGGUCCAUAACUGACGCUGAGGUGCGAAAGCGUGGGGAGCAAACAGG